GACGAACGCUGGCGGCGUGCUUAACACAUGCAAGUCGAACGGAAAGGCCCUGCUUUUGUGGGGUGCUCGAGAGGCGAACGGGUGAGUAACACGUGAGUAACCUGCCCUUGACUUUGGGAUAACUUCAGGAAACUGGGGCUAAUACCGGAUAGGAGCUCCUGCUGCAUGGUGGGGGUUGGAAAGUUUCGGCGGUUGGGGAUGGACUCGCGGCUUAUCAGCUUGUUGGUGGGGUAGUGGCUUACCAAGGCUUUGACGGGUAGCCGGCCUGAGAGGGUGACCGGCCACAUUGGGACUGAGAUACGGCCCAGACUCCUACGGGAGGCAGCAGUGGGGAAUAUUGCACAAUGGGCGGAAGCCUGAUGCAGCGACGCCGCGUGCGGGAUGACGGCCUUCGGGUUGUAAACCGCUUUCGCCUGUGACGAAGCGUGAGUGACGGUAAUGGGUAAAGAAGCACCGGCUAACUACGUG
rnacentral:rRNA from 1 species